ensembl:lncRNA
GUCAUUCUGUCCACUCAAGACAUUGCAGAAAUAUACAGUGAUUUUUUACAGUUGUACCUUUAAAUAUGUAAUUACUUUCCCUACUGCUGCAGAGAUUUCCUCGAGGGAAAAGUAUCAGAAGAACAGUUAUCUGCAGCUCGGAUGAAGUGGAAAAUUUAGUUAUCACAGCUUUCAGCAUUUCAAGUACCCUUAUCAACCAGACCCAGCAGUGGCUUCAGGAACAGCAUUACCGGAUCCAGGAAGCUUUAAGCAACAGGCAAGACGUGUUCCCAGGAAGGGAGGAAUACAAUCAGGGAAGAUAUUCAAGCCGGUUUGAACACAAUAUCAAGACCUGGGUAAUCACCAGUGAAUAACCACCAGUCUCACAAGGAGAAAUUAAACCACUGAUCACUCAGUCCACAGUAAGUCCAUGCCUUAUCUUAUAGUUGCUGAGUGUAUAGGGUAAAUUAUGUUUCUAUUCAUGAAAAUAAUUGGGCCAUGAACAACAGCAAGAAGUUCAACAAAGGAUAAUGCCAGGUUGUUUACCUGGGAUGGAGUAAUGCUGGAUACAGGUAGGGAAUGGGAGACAAAUGGUUA